rnacentral:rRNA from 1 species
GACGAACGCUGGCGGCGUGCUUAACACAUGCAAGUCGAACGGAAAGGCCCUGCUUUUGUGGGGUGCUCGAGUGGCGAACGGGUGAGUAACACGUGAGUAACCUGCCCUUGACUUUGGGAUAACUUCAGGAAACUGGGGCUAAUACCGGAUAGGAGCUCCUGCUGCAUGGUGGGGGUUGGAAAGUUUCGGCGGUUGGGGAUGGACUCGCGGCUUAUCAGCUUGUUGGUGGGGUAGUGGCUUACCAAGGCUUUGACGGGUAGCCGGCCUGAGAGGGUGACCGGCCACAUUGGGACUGAGAUACGGCCCAGACUCCUACGGGAGGCAGCAGUGGGGAAUAUUGCACAAUGGGCGGAGGCCUGAUGCAGCAACGCCGCGUGCGGGAUGACGGCCUUCGGGUUGUAAACCGCUUUCGCCUGUGACGAAGCGUGAGUGACGGUAAUGGGUAAAGAAGCACCGGCUAACUCCGUG